UACGAAGGGGGCUAGCGUUGCUCGGAAUCACUGGGCGUAAAGCGCACGUAGGCGGCUUUGUAAGUUAGAGGUGAAAGCCUGGAGCUCAACUCCAGAAUUGCCUUUAAGACUGCAUCGCUUGAAUCAUGGAGAGGCGGGUGGAAUUCCGAGUGUAGAGGUGAAAUUCGUAGAUAUUCGGAAGAACACCAGUGGCGAAGGCGGCCCGCUGGACAUGUAUUGACGCUGAGGUGCGAAAGCGUGGGGAGCAAACAGG
rnacentral:rRNA from 1 species